CUGACUUUCAGGUCACCAAGAUAUUUUGCACAUCUCUUGUUAACAGGCUGAUAUGGAAAUCAGAGCAAUUCUAACUGUGAUGGUUUCACUCCUUUGUCAUAUCACACCAAUCCUAUCUGAUGUGAAUAAAGAGAAUAUUUCAGAAGGGUGCAUUUCUAUGCUGCACACCCAAAUGAACUACGUGGAUCAGUCAAGACCAUCGCCUUUAGUGACAUCAUCCUGAACGAGGGAUCUGCAUUCUUCGGGAGGUCUGGCAUCUUCACCGCUCCAGUCAAUGGAAUCUACCAGUUCUUCUUCUCAUUCCAGAGCAGCAGAGGCGAUCCCAACGAGUGGCAUCUGCAGAUCAGUGGCGUUGGUGAAGUUGUGUGCCUUUCUCAUGCUCUUGUGUGCUCUUUCUCUCUUGGCUAGUUGAAAAAGGACGAUAAGGUCACUGUAAGCCAAUUGAAGGGCACUGCCAGGGUCCUAGCUGGCAUGGUCUCGCGCACUAAUACUUUCUCUGGCUCACUGCUGAUGCAGAAACCUUGAGUGUCAUAAAUGAAGGUCACAUGAAAGGUAGACAGCUACAGUGAUGUCAAUUGACAGCUGUCUUUGUCAUGUUUGCUUGGUUCUGUUUAUCUGCAUUGUAAGAAUAAGCACAUACAUUUAUUUAUCACAGUCUGCACAUGGGCAAAUAUGCCAUCCCUGUGCUUUGCACCGUACACUUAUGCGCCCGUGCACACAUAAACACACACAAACACAAAAACACAAAACCAAAAACACACACACACA